UACGUAGGGUGCGAGCGUUGUCCGGAAUUAUUGGGCGUAAAGGGCUCGUAGGCGGUCUGUUGCGUCAGCAGUGAAAACUCGGGGCUUAACCCCGAGCCUGCUUCUGAUACGGGCAGACUAGAGGUAUGCAGGGGAGAACGGAAUUCCUGGUGUAGCGGUGAAAUGCGCAGAUAUCAGGAGGAACACCGGUGGCGAAGGCGGUUCUCUGGGCAUUACCUGACGCUGAGGAGCGAAAGUGUGGGGAGCGAACAGG
rnacentral:rRNA from 1 species